CAUAGCGACUAUCGUGGCAUAUCAAUAAGCGGAGGAAAAGAAACUAACUAGGAUUCCCCUCAGUAACGGCGAGUGAAGCGGGAAGAGCUCAAAUUUGAAAUCUUCAAGGUUUGACCUUGACGAAUUGUAGUUUAAAGAAGUGUUUUCGGUUAGAGGAGUAGUAAAAGUUCUUUGGAAUAGGACAUCAUAGAGGGUGAGAAUCCCGUAUUUGACUAUUCUUUCUAGCUUUGUGAUACACUUUCAAAGAGUCGGAUUGUUUGGGAAUGCAGUCCAAAAUGGGUGGUAAAUUUCAUCUAAAGCUAAAUAUUGGCGAGAGACCGAUAGCGAACAAGUACCGUGAGGGAAAGAUGAAAAGAACUUUGAAAAGAGAGUUAAACAGUACGUGAAAUUGUCAAAAGGGAAGCGUUUGACACCAGUGUUGUUUUUCCGAAAAUCAAUUAAAAAUUGAUUCAUGCCAGGUUGUAUUGACCUUAUCAGCUUGCAAUUUGGUUUUGGGUCUCUUUUUGAUGCACUUUUCGGUUAACAAGUCAACAUCAAUUUCCUUUGCUGUAAAAAGGUAAGAGGAAGGUGGCUUCAAUUUCGGUUGAAGUGUUUAUAGCCUUUUAUCUCUGCAGUCGGGGAGAUUGAGGUCUGCAGCGUAGAUCCUUCGGGGCUAGAUACAUUUAUGCUAAGUUAUAGCUUUUCAUAGACAACUUGUUGACUAUGUUUAGUCAUGUAGCUUACUCGUAAGUGCUAUUUUACCUACGCUUAGGAUGUUGAAGAUAUGCGCGACACG
rnacentral:rRNA from 1 species